CUCCUCCUCAAUCACAAGUUCUCUUUCUUCCAGGCUCAGGGAGAGACAAAUGCAGCCUUAUUUAGGCCCCGGAUUGAAGGCCUGCUGGGUCAAACAGUGAGUGCAACUUGUCCCCGGCUGAGCAGCGUUUUCCAGGGACCCCUAAAGAUGCCUUCACCCACAGACAACAGGAAGCAGUCUGGAGAACAUGAUGCCCACAUUCCCAAGAGAUGGGGGUUUUUCGUGACAAUGAGACACAUCUCCUGGAAGCACCAAUUUACUUCAGAGAAGAUGAUGGGCAUCGAAGAAAGUGCAAAAAGUAUAAAAAACAAACAAAUAAAAAAAUAAAACCAAACAAACCCAACAACAGCCCUGUUUAUUAGCUCCAUAGUGGUAGCAGCUUCAUCCUUCGUGUGUGCGUUAGAUUGUUUGAAGUGUGGUUUAAACCAUGUUGUCUCAGCGAUGACAAGUGUCUGAUACUUCCCAGAAGCUGAGAUCAAUGUCAAGGGAUGUGUGAAAACUCCAUUGUACUUUAACUCUUCACCGUUUUGAGAAACUGGAGGGGAGGGUUUUUUCCUUGACUUAAAAGGAAAGGACGGGAAGGGGAGGGAAAGUAUUACUGUUAAUAAGGGACUAUUGGAGAAAUAAAACAAUAUGAAAUUCACUGACAGCUUUAGAAUCAACAAUUUUUGUCAAGAAGUGCCCUAAAAUGUCUUUCAUGAAAAUUUCAGGAGAUAGACAAAAUAUGUUCAAGCUCUCUACAUUAAAGCUUGACCGGAGUGAUUUUUAAACAGUAAGAUCUUACCUAGGGUGAAAAAGCAUGAAAUAGGAAUUGGAAGUAGUUAGCCAAAAGGAAAAAAAAAAAAGAGGCUUUCAAUUGAGGAAUAUGGACAGGAAACGGUUACUUAAAAUGUAAUCAUGUGCUUCUGGUCCAGCACACUCAAAGCUGAGAAGCCACAUGACCAGCCAAGGAAGAUUGAGCAAUAAUUAGACUUUGGGAAAGAAUUAAGAGCAGACAAGACAAUUUCAAACCCCUUUGAAGAGUUUUGGAUGAAAACACCUUUCAAUUUAUUUUUGUGCUCUUAACCUGAAGGAGCAUCGACAAGAAUUCAGCGAAGCAAAAAUGUGGCCCAAAGAGUUCCAGAAGUGCUGGGAGAGAGCCAGGCUGGACAGACGGUUUUGCCUGCCACGCUGGCCCAAUGGCAGGUCCAGAAACGGGCCCCGCAUUCCACAGUUCCUCCCUGGGCUCCAGGCUCACACUUUUUCCACUGCGCCAUGCGUGUCCAGUAAGCGUUGCCUAAGAAAACAUUGGCUAAAGAGGCCAAUUUGGAUUAGAACUGGGUUUGUCGGAAGACAGAGUUCAGAGUUUCUACCACAUCUUCCCCUUGCUUCCAGUUCUUCCGUGGCUCUCCUUUCCAGUGUGAUGUGCUAACACAGCGCGUCAUCCGGCAGUUAUUCCUCUUUGCACUGUCUGUCCUGCCAGCUCUGGCUCUCUCUUCUUCUCCUCCACAGGAAGGCUCUGCGCAGCCCAGCAGCCCAGCCUCAGCCCCCUGCUGGUCCUCUGACACCAACACCGAAGCAUGGCCAGGCUGCUGCUCCCACGUGGUGGACCCUUUCUAUCCAUGGUUCAUGGAGGUGGUGGGCUCGCUUCUCAUUUCGAUUCCUUCUCUGGACACCAGAGCACAGACUCUGAUGUGUCUGGUCAGGAAGGAAUUCAGGAAAUAGCUCUGGGAAAGCCUGUGCGCUUCGGUACGGUGCAGUUCACAGAGCUGCAGUUUGUUACCCGAUCCCACCACGUGAAGGAUCAAACGGACAGGCUCUCACGCUAUCCAACUAGAGAAUUUACAGAGGGCUUUCAUAUAGAACGUCUGGUGUCCCAAGACCCAGUGAGAAAGGCUGGACAGAUGCUGUGAACCUUAUGCACAAGAGAGCUGAACUGAGUUCACAAGUGACUUGGCCAAGGUCACAGGUCAACUAAGGGACAUCGGGGUUUGGAACCAUCUGCUGAUUCUCUACUGAUCAUAUGACUUGAUCUUUUUUUCUUCUACUUCUUCUUCUGUCCCUAAUGAUUUUCUUUGUUUGUUUUGUUCUACAGUUUUAAACACUGUGAUUUACAGCUUUCUGGAUAAAGCACUCGAGAUGACAGAGUAAAAAUAAUAUGUUUUGAUACUUUGAUAUCAAAGCCACAAGGCUAGUAAACAGUACAAUUAUGAUUCAUAACUGAAAGUACUGCAGUUUACGAAAAAGGAGAAAAUGAGAAUACAUAAUAUUCAAGGGGGCCAAGCACCACUGGGAUAAGGAAGAGUGGAUGAAAAAAAUCUAAGAGCCAUGUUUUUAAAUUAAUUAUGCUUUAAGAGUUUUAAAAAAUUUAAAUUACGUAUAGCAAGGUGAAAAAAUAUGUAAAACCUAA